UACAGAGGGUGCGAGCGUUAAUCGGAAUUACUGGGCGUAAAGCGCGUGUAGGCGGGUCGGCAAGUCGGGCGUGAAAUCCCCAGGCUCAACCUGGGAACUGCACUCGAAACUUCCGAUCUAGAGUGGUGGAGAGGGAAGUGGAAUUCCUGGUGUAGAGGUGAAAUUCGUAGAUAUCAGGAGGAACACCAGUGGCGAAGGCGGCUUCCUGGACACCAACUGACGCUGAGACGCGAAAGCGUGGGGAGCAAACAGG
rnacentral:rRNA from 1 species